UCUGCCUAAAAACACAAACUGGGCAGAUUUGGACUCUAACACACUUUUGGGACACCUAAAAACACAAAUCAAAAUAGAUUUUGACUAAUAAAACACUUUAAAGUAAAGGGGGUUUUCGUUUUAACGAAUUUGAAAACAAAACAAGGAAAUUAAAGAACGAAUGAAAUCUGCACGAAUUUGAGUAAAUUGAAUGGAUGGAAGGCUAGCUAGGAGGUUCUUCUCCACACAUGACAUACUUGCACAUAAACCAAUUUUCAGUUGUUCUUUUGAUCAAUCAUGAAACUCAACACCCCAGGUUAAUUAAGUCCGCUUAAAUUAACCUUCAAGUUCUCCUUAAGUUAUUGAAUUGGAUGGGAAAGCGCAUACAACAAUUCAACCAUUCUUCAAAAGUUCUUUACGUGAACAGCACAAUAAAGAUACAAUCAAAGAUCAUUAAGCAUUAUAAAACUAUGAGUAUUGACGAGGCAUUCGUUACUAUGAUGAGCAUGAAACUCCUGCCAAGAAUUUAUUUAACGUGAUUGUUUAUAAGCGACCUCCAUUACUUGUGAAUAUAAGUUUGUAACUAUUAGGUGAAACUCCCUUAUACUCUAGCAUCAUAUUCAUGCAUGCAAACUAAGUGUGCACUCUUAAUAAACAUACACGAAUAAGUUAUCAAUCAAGCAGUUAAACAAAUUGAAUUCACAACUUAUGAAAUCACAAUUGAAGGUAAUCAAAUCAUAUUGCAAGCAUGAACAUGGUUUCGAAUUCCCCCUAGCUAAGGGGGGUUUAGUUCCUCAUACUCACAAAGCAAAGAUAAACAAAUAUAGACAUUGAAAACAAAAGAAUGAAAACACCUAAAAAUGCUCCAACAAUCUAACUUGAAUGGCAAGCACGUCCAAGGGUCCUCUUUCUUCUCUUUGUUGCAGCACAAGGUGUGGCUUGAUGGAUGAGUGGUAAAUUAUGGUGGUGGAUGGAUAUAGGUGAGUUAUGGUGAAGGGUGGAUGGGUGGAUUGUGUUCUCCCGGCUAAGGAAUGAAAGUGUAAGUGUAUGGAGUUGUGAGAUGUGAAUGUAGUGUCUUUUGAUGGAUCUUUUCUCCUCCCCCUUGUUAUGGUGAAGGGUGGAUGUAUUUAUAGGCUAGAGAGAGGACCACCAUCUAAUUAAGGUGGUAGUGGUGAUUGUUGUGGUAAUGAGUGGAUGUAAUGGGUGUAGUGGGUGAGUGUUUGGUGAUGAGUGGAUGUAAUGGGUGGUAAUGGGUGUAGUGGAUGGAUGUUUGGUAAUGAGUGGAUGUAAUGGGUGUAGUGGAUGAGUGUUUGGUAAUGAGUGGAUGUAAUGGGUGUAGUGGGUGGAUGUUUGGUAAUAAGUGGGUGUAAUAGGUGUAGUGGAUGGAUGUUUGGUAAUGAGUGGAUGUAAUGGGUGUAGUGGAUGGGUGUUUGGUAAUGAAUGGAUGUUAUGGGUGUAGUGGAUGGAUGUUUGGAGUUGUAGGUCAACACACUUGCACACACACAUGCUGAUUUCUAGCCUUCAAAUCUUCAAAAACGUCCAUCCUCAUGUCUCCAUGCUUGCACUAUCCAAUCUUGGCCCAAAAAUGCUCCAAAAUGCUCCAAAUAGCACUUUGUUGCUAACUUUGUUAUUUGAACCUACAAACACACGAAAAUAGCUUAAAAUACAUAAUUGACUAAGAAAUAACAACAUAAAUGCACAAGAACAAGCUAACUAAGUCGCAUAAAUAUGCUCCUAUCAAAUUCGCCCUUACUUAGCUUUUGCUAGUCCUCGAGCAAAACAAAACAAACGAAACAAACAAAACAUAACCUAGACCUUCCGACAUUUGCCUCAGGGAUUUUCAAUGAAACAUGACAUGCCAAAGAUCACCAUUUACAUAGAUUUAAGCAAUCCUUACCCUCGAGCAUACUUAAUCAUAGUCACCAUUCACUAGGUCACAUUUAAUCAAUUAAAACAACAUUUUGAAUGUAGUAACAUGCCUUAGAGAAUUCCCUCAAUUCCUUACUAGGUACUCUAUAUUUUCACACACAUUUUCUGACUACACACCUUACACUAGUUAUAUGUGAGAAGAUUGAUGUAAACAUGGAAGACUAGUACUCACAUAUGUUAUAACAAAGAAAGCAAUUUCUGGAGUUAAUAAGCAUGUUUAAAUAUGAUCUCAUGAAUGGUAUGCUACUACUUAGAUGCGAGAACCAGUGACACCAUAUAUUCAUACCAAUUUCGAACUCCACAAAUUGAAACACACAACACUCAAGAUUGAAGUCAAGGGUUGUAACAGGGCUUGGGGGUAAUGGCUAACAAAGAAAUGAUAGGAAUAACAAAGGUUCUUAAAGUGAUAGCAAGCAAAGCAAUGAAAUAGACACUUGGAAUUCUCUUUAGAAUGCAGAAUCAACUUUUACAUAUAAAGGGAAGAUUCAUGCAACACUUAGGGCCGAAUUCAAUGUUUUGGACCCUUUUUUAACAAACAACACUUUAGAGCUCUUGCUCAUACUCUUUUUUCUUUUCUCUACCCGUGCCUUAUUAAGGACUUUGGCACACACACACACAAUAAUCACUUCCCCCACACUUGUUUUUCUGCAAGAGUUCAACAAAAGGAAAUCCUUCUAAAUUAUGUUUUACUAUGCUUCAAGAACAAGGGUAUGGAUGGUCCUAUUCUAGGCUAGGUGAGGAUAGUGUGGGUAACAAAGAACAUAGGCUACACAAGGCUCAACGGGGUUAAACUUAAACACAUAAUGAACGGGAUAGGCUUUUUGGCUCUUGGCUCACUAAACAACUUCAUCUUGAAUAUGUGUUAUGCAAAUCAAUAACAUGCUUUGAAUGAAAUAGGCAUGAGUUCUAGUAUUUGGAACUAAAUGAUGAAACGCAUUCUAAAUAGCAACCAAGCAAAGAAUAAUGGGAUCAUGCAACGACUUUAGAAAACAACGAUGCAUAGAUUAUUAACUCUCCAAAUAAACGUUUAGCCUCAAGUCUCACAAGGUUAUAGCGUUCAUUUGAGUUCCUUCUUUCAAGCAUGUUACAAAAACUGAUUUUUUUUUUCUUUAUGAUUGCAUGUGAAUUCAUAAAUUAUAACCACAACCAAGCAUACACCAAAGAGUAAAUUAAAUUUUUAUCCAAGUUUAUAACUCUCUUUAACAGUCAUGUAAUUAAAAACCAAAUCCUCAUCAUUGUGUUGGAAGGUACCCUAAGACACAAAUAAACAUACAAAAACAACUCUUUUUGGGUUUUUCAAAACAAUUUUUCAAAUUUUUAUGAGAUUUUCGGAUUUUUAUAACAAAACACACUAAAACACUCCAAAACAGCUUAAAACAGCAAGGAACAACACUAGAAGUAAUGGGUGAUAAACUCCUACGAAUUUCAUGCAAAACAACUUGGUUACCCCCCCCCCCUCACUUAAAUCAAACAUUGUCCUCAUUGUUUCAAGCAUAAACUCACACAAAAAUAAGCAAACAAACAAACAACGAAUAAACAUGACAAGUAUGGCAAGGUAAAAACCAGACAGAGUAGAGUUUAAGAACGCAAAUCUGGUUUUGGAGAUAGAUGAUCUUGUUGACUUUCCACAACUUUGAUCUCAAACUGGUUUGGAAUUUUGAGCGAGGACUAUGAGAGUUCCUUGGUUUCAAAUCAGACUCCUUCUGCUGGGUUGAUUUGAUUGUGCAGUCUGCAUUCUUCUCUGCUUGUUUCUUCUGCACGGCAGGCAGGCACGAGGUAGAGGUGUUGGUCUGUUUCUUUCUUCAAUCUUUCUAAGUGCCCACCUCUUGCUUUCUUUCUCCUUGUCCCUAGCUGAGGAUGAAUUGGCAAAUUGUCUCCACAUGCUUCGAGGUAUCAUUUUCACUUCCCUUAUCUGUUCCCCAGGCAGAUGUGGUAGACGAAAAGGAGGCAUAAAAUGAUGAAGAUGAGUACUCCAGAGCAAGGCUAGGUAAGCAAUUAGGAAGGGGUUCCAGGCAGUCGGUUCCAGAUCGGAAGAUUGAUACCAAGUGCUGGCUAAUUGCUCUCUUUCUCCUUGUCCCAAAACAACGACAAGGAGAAGGACAGGAAGAAAGCAUGAUAUGAGAUACUCUUGCUUUCAACCUUCAUGAUGUGAAAUACUUUUGCUUUGGAUGAGUUGUUUGCAGAGGUACCCCAAGGAAUAAGGAACACUGAGUGACUCGAGAGGGUUUGUUGGAAAGGCAUUCUCGGAGAAGAAGAAGGGUUAUGUAUGUCUGCCUUACAAUGAAGGGUGAAGGGUGACAUUUAUAGGAAUUAAUAACCGGUACUAUUCUUUCACUCUUGUCAGCAACCGUUGGAUCAUUUAAUAGUAAACUUUACGUGUUUUCUACUUCACAAGAGAUCUUCGACAAAUUGCCCGUAAUUUCUGCAAGGCUGAGUGUGCAUGUGACAGGCGUUGACACGUCUAGAAAAACAAGUGCCUCUUCGAUAUCUGGAAUCGGGGCUUCGACAAACUGCCCAUGAUUUCCGCAAAGCUGACUCUGCAUGUGACAGAUGCUAACACUUCUGGAAAAGCAAAUGCCUCCCCGAUUUCUGAGCUUGCUUCUUCGAUCUCUGAAAUCCCGUCGAGUGCAGAGGUUGCAUGUGACAAGUGUGGACAAAUCUGGAAAAGAAGAUUGGCCGUGGUUUUUAAGCAAGCCCAGCUUUUGAGAAAGUUAGCGCCUCUUCGAUUUUUGAGUUGGCCUCUUCAAUUUCUGAGCUCGCCUCUUCGAUCUCUGAAAUCCUGUCGAGUGCUGAUUUUUAAAAAGGUACGCAGGACGUUCAAAGGACACUUGAAUUUCUGCCUGUAGAAACUCCUGUCUUGCACUUCUACUAUCUUGACUUGUCCGACCUCUACUUUUUUUAACACCUCUGAAAAUGUUUGGCCCCUCCGACCGUCGUUUUGACUUGAACCUUGGUGAAGAGGCAGUCCCGCCUUCUCCAGACAACAUAUGGCGCCCAUCUUUCAUAUCCCCUACUGGUCCCCUUACCGUUGGGGAUUCGGUGAUGAAGAAUGAUAUGACAGCUGCGGUGGUGGCCAAGAACCUUGUCACUCCCAAAGAUAACAGACUACUUGCCAAAGGGUCUGAUGAGUGGCUGUUAAGGAUUCUCUGGCUCUCAGUGUGCAGUGUGCAGGUUCUGUGUCUAAUAUGGCCCAACGCGUAUUUGCUCGAACCCGUCAAGUUGAAUCAUUGGCCGCUGAAGUGAUGAGUCUCAAAUAGGAGAUUAAAGGGCUCAAGCAUGAGAAUAAACAUUUGCACAGGCUCGCACAUAACUAUGCUACAAACAUGAAGAUGAAGAUUGACCAGAUGCAGGAAUCUGAUGGUCAGAUUUUACUUGAUCAUCAGAGGUUUGUGGUUUGUUCCAACAGCAAUUGCCUUUUUCUUCUGGGGCUGUACCGCGUAAUGAAGCUCCAAAUGAUCAACCUCCGAAGCUUCCUCCUUCUGGGGCUCCGCCGACUGCUGAGGCUCAGCCGACUACUGAGAUUUCUCCUAAGCAGCCUUUGUGAAGGCUCCCUCUUGUAUUUUUCUGCUUAAUGUUCCUUUCUUUUUUAUGAAAAUGAAUAUAAAAAUACCUUGCAUAACUGUCAGUGUUUCAAAAAUAAACCCACACCCAAAAAAAUUAAAUAAGCAACAAAUAAAAAUGACAAUCAUGGCAAAAUAAAAUGCAGAAAAGGGAAGGUUUUUUAGAAACGCAAAACUGAUUGUGGAGCGAUUCAAAAAUCUUCCUCAUUUGAAUACAUGGGUUGCCUCCCAAGAAGCGCUUGCUUUAACGUCUUCCAGCCGGACGAAACUUCCUUCUAAACUUGGAUAGGGCCCAUAGCAUGGAAUUGAUCCUUGAAUGGAAGGUGAUACUUGACGUGAUCCGACAAUGGUUUAAAUUCUAGUGUAGGUGCCUGAAUCAUCAAAAUCAGCAAGUUAGUAUAUAAUAAAAUCGAAGUUGGAGAAGAUGGCUUGCUUGCUUGCUCCAACACAAACUCAAUUACGAACACCACAUCUUUGAAGGUUGCAGGGAUAUGGGACUUGGCCAGAUCUGGUGUUUUGAGAGUUAUGACUUGUCCCGUGUCAUAAAAUCUAACUUCUUUGGGAAUUUUCGUCUCAAGUGUAUCUUCUUUGAUGAAUUCUAGACAUUCCUUAUCCACUUCUUGCUUUUGAUUCUUUGGAAAGGUUUCGAAGAUGCCUUUCUCACCCUCUUCUUCCUUGGAUUGCAUGAUCCUGCAAGGAAUAAGGACAUUUGGUGAAACGGGGUUAGGACAAAUUAAAUUUAGGCUUACCUUGGUUGUAGUGGACGACAUAGAGGGCAUAUGGGGCUGCGGCAAGGGUGGUUUUUCCCUUGCCGUGGCCUUGUUAUUCUCCUCUUCUUCGAGCAACAACUGUUCAUCCAUGUUUUGGCUUGGUUUGGAUGUCUUCGGUUCACCUUCAACCUCCAUAGCACUUCCCAAAGUGAUAGCAUCAUGGAUUUCAAAAUCUUCCUUCAAAAUUUCAAUAGUUGAGUUGGAGAGUUCACUUUGCUCUUAAAUUUGUGCCAUGAACUCCAUAAUCUACCUAAUUUGCUUCUCCAAUUCUCCCGUCUUCUUAGCUUGAUUUUGCGUCUCUUUGUUUCCAUUUUCUACUUCCUGGUUCAAAGAGGUGAGUAACUUAUUAAACAGAUCAUUAUCCAAAGACGUACCUGAAUUGAAUUGGGUAGAUUGUUGUGGUGGCUGCAUAGGUCUUGAAUAGAACUCCUCUUCUUGCUGCCAAUACCCAUCUUGUUGGAAUUAUUGAGGUUCUCCCCACAUGUAAUCUGAAUAAUCUCUCCAAUCCGAAUUGUAAGCGUUGGAAAACAUGUUGUCCCAUGAUUGGCUAUGGCCUUGAUAACCCAAAGCAUCUUCAUUCGCAGCGAAUUGAGAACAUUGAUGAGUUGGAUAUCCUUGCCCAUAGGACAUACCAUAUGUAGGGACACUUUGCAUUGUGGUACCUUCGGCAUAUUGUGACAAUUGAGAAGUAAGUUUUGCCGAUUGAGCUUGAAUGGUAGCAAAAUCCAUGUCUUACUUCUCUAGUACCUGAAAUCAAGGAAACAAAACUAAAUCAAAUAUCAUAAGUAAAAAUAAAAGACAAAAAUAGAAACAAAGUCAGUAACUAAAACAAAAGACAUGAAAAAGAAACAAUGGGGGAUUAGCAAAGUUGCUAAUCCCCGACAACGGCGCCAAAAAUUUGGUGCGAAAAUUAAUUAACACACAAAUUAAACCAUCUUGUUGUCAAAUUGUAGUAUAAAUGCAAGUAGGGAUCGUUCUAAACCCGGGAUUAGGAGGGCUUGCUAAAACCUCUAAACUGACUUAAAAACAUAUAAACAAAGUUAAAAACACUAAACUAGACUCAAAGAACUUAAAACAAACUCAAAGGACUCAAAACAAGCUAAAAACGCUCAAAUCUGCCUAAAAACACAAACUGGGCAGAUUUAGACUCUAACACACUUUUGGGACACCUAAAAACACAAAUCAAAACAGAUUUUGACUAAUAAAAACUUUAAAGUAAAGGGGGUUUUGGUUUUGACGAAUUUAAAAACAAAACAAGUAAAUUAAAGAACUAAUGAAAUCUGCACGAAUUUGAGUAAAUUGAAUGGAUGGAAGGCUAGCUAGGAGGUUCUUCUCCACACAUGACAUACUUGCACAUAAACCAAUUUUCAGUUGUUCUUUCGAUCAAUCAUGAAACUCAACACCCCAGGUUAAUUAAGUCCGCUUAAAUUAACCUUCAAGUUCUCCUUAAGUUAUUGAAUUGGAUGGGAAAGCGCUUACAACAAUUCAAGCAUUCUUCAAAAGUUCUUUACGUGAACAACACAAUAAAGAUACAAUCAAAGAUCAUUAAGCAUUAUGAAAACUAUAAGUAUUGACGAGGCAUUCGUUACUAUGAUGAGCAUGAAACUCCUACCAAGAAUUUAUUUAACGUAAUUGUUUAUAAGCGACCUCCACUACUUGUGAAUAUAAGUUUGUAACUAUUAGGUGAAACUCCCUUAUACUCUAGCAUCAUAUUCAUGCAUGCAAACUAAGUGUGCACUCUUAAUAAACAUACACGAAUAAGUUAUCAAUCAAGUAAUUAAACAAAUUGAAUUCACAACUUAUGAAAUCACAAUUGAAGGUAAUCAAAUCAUAUUGCAAGCAUGAACAUGGUUUCGAAUUCCCCCCUAGCUAAG
rnacentral:lncRNA from 1 species